rnacentral:rRNA from 1 species
GACGAACGCUGGCGGCGUGCCUAAUACAUGCAAGUAGAACGCUGAAGGAGGAGCUUGCUUCUCUGGAUGAGUUGCGAACGGGUGAGUAACGCGUAGGUAACCUGCCUGGUAGCGGGGGAUAACUAUUGGAAACGAUAGCUAAUACCGCAUAAUAGCAGUUGUUGCAUGACAACUGUUUGAAAGGUGCAAAUGCAUCACUACCAGAUGGACCUGCGUUGUAUUAGCUAGUUGGUGGGGUAAAGGCUCACCAAGGCGACGAUACAUAGCCGACCUGGGAGGGUGAUCGGCCACACUGGGACUGAGACACGGGCCAGACUCCUACGGGAGGCAGCAGUAGGGAAUCUUCGGCAAUGGACGGAAGUCUGACCGAGCAAAGCCGCGUGAGUGAAGAAGGUUUUCGGAUCGUAAAGCUCUGUUGUAAGAGAAGAACGAGUGUGAGAGUGGAAAGUUCACACUGUGACGGUAUCUUACCAGAAAGGGACGGCUAACUACGUG